GUGCUCGCUUCUGCAGCACGUAUUCUAAAAACUGGAACAAUACAGAGAUUAGCACAGCCCCUGCACAAGGACGGUGUGCAAAUUCAUGAAGCAUUCUAGAGCUUU
ensembl:snRNA Gm24716 U6 spliceosomal RNA